rnacentral:rRNA from 1 species
UACGGAGGGUGCGAGCGUUGUCCGGAAUCACUGGGCGUAAAGGGCGCGUAGGCGGUUCGAUAAGUCCCGUGUGAAAUCCCUCGGCUCAACUGAGGAACUGCACGGGAAACUGACGGGCUUGAGUUCGGGAGAGGGAAGCGGAAUUCCGGGUGUAGCGGUGAAAUGCGUAGAUAUCCGGAGGAACACCGGUGGCGAAGGCGGCUUCCUGGACCGACACUGACGCUGAGGCGCGAAAGCUAGGGGAGCAAACGGG